GUGGCUACGUCCGAAUUCUGGGGAUACUGCUAGACUUGGGGCCGGUUGAGGGAGAGGGUACUCCUGGGGUAGGGGUGAAAUGCUGUAAUCCUGGGGGGACCACCGGUGGCGAAAGCGUUCUACCAGAACGGGUCCGACGGUGAGGGACGAAAGCCAGGGGAGCGAACGGGAUUAGAUACCCCGGUAGUCCUGGCCGUAAACGAUGUGGGCUUGGUGUUGCAUGCUCUACGAGGGUGUGCAGUGCCGAAGAGAAGUUGAUAAGCCUACCGCCUGGGAAGUACUAUCGCAAGGCUGAACUUAAGGAAUUGGCGGGGGAGCACUACAAGGGGUGAAAUCUGCGGUUUAUUGGAUUCCAACGCCGGAAAAGCUCACUGGAAGAAACUGCCAAUGAUGGGUCAGGCUGAUGACUUUGCUUGAACAAACGAUAGAAAGGGGGUGGACGGCCUCC
rnacentral:rRNA from 1 species